rnacentral:snoRNA from 1 species
UGAUGAUGGUUAGGGCAAUUUUUGAGCACACUUUUACAUCUCUCCUAAGCUUGGUAGAGAAUCUCUCCUUCUUGCUGUCUAAAACUCAGAAUCUUACUUCUCAAAUG